rnacentral:rRNA from 1 species
UACAGAGGGGGCAAGCGUUGUUCGGAAUUACUGGGCGUAAAGGGCGCGUAGGCGGCCUUCUAAGUCGAACGUGAAAUCCCCGGGCUCAACCCGGGAACUGCGUCCGAUACUGGAAGGCUUGAAUCCGGGAGAGGGAUGUGGAAUUCCAGGUGUAGCGGUGAAAUGCGUAGAUAUCUGGAGGAACACCGGUGGCGAAGGCGACGUCCUGGACCGGCAUUGACGCUGAGGCGCGAAGGCAUGGGUAGCGAACGGG